GGAGCUGUAGCCCAGUGGUAUAGAGCGCCUGCUUUGCCCGCAAGAGGUCCCAGGUGCAUUCCCCGGCAUCUCCU